rnacentral:tRNA from 1 species
GCUUACGUUAUCUGACGCUACCAUGGAUGCCUUCCAAGCAUUCGACGGGGGUUCGAUUCCCCCCGAACGCA